AGGAUUAACGCUGGCGGCGUGCAUGAAACAUGCAAGUCGAGCGCGGGAUAUCGGCUUCGGUUGAUAUCUCUAGCGGCGCACGGGUGAGUAACACGUGAGCAAUCUACCUUCAAGUUCGGGAUAGCUCUGGGAAACCAGGAUUAAUACCGGAUGUGGUUACAACGAGACAUCUCGAUGUAAGUAAAGGGGCAACCCGCUUGAUGACGAGCUCGCGGCCUAUUAGCUUGUUGGUGGGGUAACGGCCUACCAAGGCAGUGAUGGGUAGCUGGUCUGAGAGGACGAUCAGCCACACUGGGACUGAGACACGGCCCAGACUCCUACGGGAGGCAGCAGUUAGGAAUUUUCCGCAAUGGGCGAAAGCCUGACGGAGCAACGCCGCGUGAGUGAUGAAGACCCUAGGGUUGUAAAGCUCUGUCGGAGGGGAAGAAUAAUAGACGGUACCCUCCAAGAAAGCCCGGCUAACUACGUGCCAGCAGCCGC
rnacentral:rRNA from 1 species